rnacentral:misc_RNA from 1 species
AACGCACAUUGCACCUAUUAGUAUUCUAGUAGGUAUGCCUGUUCGAGCGUCAUUUCAAACCUCAAGCUUCUUGCUUGCUGUUGGGGCGUUGCCAAUUUUCUUCUCGGGGAAGGGCAAGCCCUGAAUUAUAGUGGUAGAGCUGCUGUAGACUCUGAGCGUAGUACUACUAUUCGCUUUUGGAAUCUCGGUGGUGCUUGCCGUAAACCGACUAUAUUUUUUCUAUUGUUUGACCUCGGAUCAGGUAGGAAUACCCGCUGAACUUAA